rnacentral:rRNA from 1 species
GAUGAACGCUGGCGGCGUGCCUAAUACAUGCAAGUCGAACGAACGGACGAGACGCUUGCUUUUCUGAUGUUAGCGGCGGACGGGAGAGUAACACGUGGAUAACCUACCUAUAAGACUGGGAUAACUUCGGGAAACCGGCGCUAAUACCGGAUAAUAUUCUGAACCGCAUGGUUCAUAAGUAAAUUACGGUCUUGCUGUCUCUUAUAGCUGGUUCUCCGCUUCAUUGGCUGGUUGGUAAGUUCACGGCUUACGAAGGCAAGGAUGCAUAGCCGACCGGAGAGGGUGGUCGGCCACAUUGGAAGUGGACCGCGGUCAAGACUCCUACGGGAGGCAGCAGUAGGGAAUCUUCCGCAAUGGGCGAAAGCAUGACGGAGCAAGGCCGCGUGAGUGAUGAAGGUCUUCGGAUCGUAAAACUCUGUUAUUAGGGAAGAACAUAUGUGUAAGUAACUGUGCACAUCUUGACGGUACCUAAUCAGAAAGCCACGGCUAACUACGUG